rnacentral:rRNA from 1 species
UGGGGAAUAUUGCACAAUGGGCGCAAGCCUGAUGCAGCCAUGCCGCGUGUGUGAAGAAGGCCUUCGGGUUGUAAAGCACUUUCAGCGAGGAGGAAGGGUAGUGUGUUAAUAGCACAUUGCAUUGACGUUACUCGCAGAAGAAGCACCGGCUAACUCCGUGCCAGCAGCCGCGGUAAUACGGAGGGUGCAAGCGUUAAUCGGAAUUACUGGGCGUAAAGCGCACGCAGGCGGUUUGUUAAGUCAGAUGU